CACCAGCACCGGGCUCUGGGCCUUGCCCUACCAGCCCUGCGCCGAGCCGGGACAUCCCUCCGUGUCCAGCAUGGUGGGGUCGGGGGGGAAAAGAGGGGAGGCUUUCCCAUCGGAAAGCACUGGAGCUCAGAGAACAUCUCAGCCGCUGCAAGACCAGGGCUGGCAUGGAAAAAUGUAAAGUUUGGAUAACUGAGUAACGGCUUCUUCAGUUUUCAAACACACACACACAGGGCACUACGUUUGUAGCUCUGAAAUGCACAUUUCUAAGAAUUCCAGUCCCACAUGAUGGUGGCAGUGCUCUAAUUGAUCAUUAAGUUGUUUUUCCACCUGGUGUACUUGCUGCCGUGUGGCUUUUUGGCGAGCGGGGAAGCGCUGCUGCUGAGCUGUGAGUCCGGCUGGGGAGCUGGCACGCAGGGAGGAGCUGCCUGGUGGCUUCUGCGAGGGCUGCUGGGUGGGAAUUGCUGCAUUUUUCCCCGAGCCCUAAGAGUAGGUUGGGCGUUAACCGGCUGGAGAGAGAUGAGGUGGGUCCAAGCCCGAGGUGCCCUGCUCUGCCGCCUGGGACACGUGAGCAAGAACUGGGGGAUGAGAAGGGAGAGUUGUGGGGUGUCUACUGGGGAGAUCUUUUGUGGUGCUGCCUUGCUUUCAGAGGAGGCGAGACUGCCCAUCUGAAGACCAUCCUGCCCUACGGAGAUCCCCAAAACCACUCAGGUACCUUUGGCUGGAUAAGAAGUAACCAGAGGAGGGGAAAGCAGUGCUGUCUGGGCAGGAGCCCCUCGUUGGCACAUCUGCUGAUGUCUGUCACGUUGCAGCUGGGCACAUUCAGGAGAAAUUGCUCCUACCAAGGGGACCCAGCCUGGCUGGUUAUGAAAAGGUCUUGACUUAAGCCUGAGCUCGCUUCUUCCAAGUGCUGAGCUCCCUUGCCUUGCUCCAAAGGGGUGUUCAUACCUGCUGGUACUUGGCCAAUGCCUCUGUGUUUCAGCUCUGCGAGACCAGGGGAUGAUUUCAGACCCACCUGGGUGACCAUCAGACCCAAAACAGAUCCAGCAUCCCCAGGAGAGAGAAAGCUGUAUGGAAACUGGCUUCAGGCUCUGGCUCUUGAACCUCCCAUGGAUGGCUACUGGGAUCACUCAUGACCUCCCCGCACAGUGACGGCCUCGCAUCCGAGACAGAGAGAAACAGCAGUGACCAGAGAAGGCUGGGAAGCCCCAAAGACAGCUGCAAACACGCUGCUGAGCCACCGGCAGAAGGUGGACGGGGACUGCAGGAAGUGCCAGGGGAAUGCUCAGAGGAGAAGCGAACUACUGAUUGCGACCAGGAUAAAUGUGGAAACGGAUCAAGAAAAAGUCUGCCUUGUUGGCCUGACCUUGGCUAUUCUUUUACACUAAUGCAACGUGGUGAAAAAUGAGUAUUAUGCCUCCAUCCAGCAGCAUUUCGCCCUCAGUUUGUCAGAGACAACGGGCAGAGAGCAGGGGAGAACCAGGCUGGCUGCGUGGAUUUUUUCCUGGUGAGUCUCAUCAUUCGGUAUUCAGUGCAAAACGAGGAGCGUAGC